rnacentral:lncRNA from 1 species
UGGAGCACAGGGACUCAUUCGUACCAUCUCUUCCUAUUUCACAGGUGUUCGCUGCACAGGGGUGGCGGUGGUGUUCAGAAGUCCUUCCUGCCCUGUUGCAGGUGGAUACAGAAGCAGCUGGAGUAUGCAGCCAGGCAGGUCUGCUGGAGUUUACUGGGAGUCCAUUCCAGAUCCUGUGUGCCUGGGUAUCACCAGUGGAGUCUGAAGAAUAACAAAGAUUGCUGCCUACUUCUUCCUCUGGAAGGACAAAUGGAUCAGGAUCUAAUCUGCUUACUAUGGCUGUACUUACAGAGCAGUUUCGAUGUGAUCAGAGGAUUAUCUUCAGCAUCUCAGACACUUGAACUCUGCAAUCAUUUUUAGCAUGUCAACGAAGGUGGCAGAUUUUUUGUCAAAAAGUAAAAUCCAACUUCAAUACCUCUUUGCGAUUAUAUAUCGGGAACAUAUAACAGCCAAUUUGGAAUUAU